rnacentral:lncRNA from 1 species
GUUGAUGAAUAUGAUUUAAAAAUUGAUGAAUAUGAUUUAAAAACAUGAUAUCAGUCCUCAAAUUGUAGAAUAUCCCACAGUCACCUAGAGUACUUCUUAAAACACUAACUUUUAUGCCCUAUCUAGAGAGGGUGUGAUUGAGUACCACUGGGUCAGAUCUGUAAAUUUACAUCACUGACAAUUUUCAUAGUAAUAUUGAUGCUGCUAGUCCAGGGACCACACUUUGAGAAUCUGCCUUAGCAUAUUAGAACAAGAAAUAUCAGCCAAUUCCUUUUUCGUGUAAUCAUAUCCAGUGGACCUGUUUUUGCACAGUUCAAAUCUCAGCCCAUUAUUGACAGCCGUUUUAUUGUAGCUGGAGGCCUUACAGUAAGCUGUUUAUAUUGCUGUUUCCCAAACCGUUGACAGCAUUUGGGGAAUUAAUUUUCUUGGCCCCAGUGUGCUUUUUUUUCCAAGGGGUAGGGCUGGAAAUAAAUGAAAAUGUUAGCAUAAAAAAAAGUGAUCUAUUUACAUUUGACAAGUUUUUCAAAUAAUAAUCUGUGAGAGUUUCACUAGAGUUUGGUUCUGGAUAAACAGUCAUAUUUAAUUUUCUAAAUGAAAUGCUCAUUUUAGAGCUCAAGCAUCCUGACUUUAACUUUAUGUAAUGUAG